rnacentral:rRNA from 1 species
CAGAGGGGGCAAGCGUUGUUCGGAAUUACUGGGCGUAAAGGGCGCGUAGGCGGCCUGUUAAGUCGAACGUGAAAUCCCCGGGCUCAACCCGGGAACUGCGUCCGAUACUGGCAGGCUUGAAUCCGGGAGAGGGAUGCGGAAUUCCAGGUGUAGCGGUGAAAUGCGUAGAUAUCUGGAGGAACACCGGUGGCGAAGGCGGCAUCCUGGACCGGCAUUGACGCUGAGGCGCGAAAGCCAGGGGAGCAAACGGGAUUAGAUACCCCGGUAGUCCUGGCCCUAAACGAUGAAUGCUUGGUGUGGCGGGUAUCGAUCCCUGCCGUGCCGAAGCUAACGCAUUAAGCAUUCCGCCGUGGGGACGUACGGUCGCAAGGCUAG